rnacentral:tRNA from 1 species
GGGGUUGUGGCUCAGCGGUAGAGUACUUAUCUUGCACAUGCAAGACCCUGGGUUCGGUCCUCAGCACCACA